UCUGUCAAUGUUUUGCUUCAAAAGGCAGCUAUUUUGUCUAAAGGUUAUUCACUUAUUCAUGCCAUCUUUUGUAAGUAUUCUAAAUUUCCUACUAUGUUAUUUAUUUGUUCAUGUUAAAAUUCACUUUUCAUAUUAUUUAUUUGCAGAUUGAAGGUGGUAAUGGACCCAACUUUCUAUGCUUAACGAUAUGGUAGAUUGAAGGUUGGGAAGUGAAAAGUGAAAUCAGAAAGAAUGAGAGUAAGAACAUAGGGAAGCUUGUUACCAUGUCGAUCUAUGUCGGGCUACUUUCAUCAACUUCCACCUAUGGUCUCCAUGAAACUGGUAAUUCAUUCUUUUCAAUUUUUUCUGUUAUCAUGGUGAUACUUUUGUAAUUUGUACACUUAUACAUUAGUCAUGAAAUUCUUGUACCAUUUUAUUAGAGUAAGCAUCUGAAAAAGGAGUGAAGCAUUGGAGAAGAUUAUGGUAACCUAGUUGAUCAAGUAUUUCUUGUUUCAUUCACUUGGUUAUCGUCCUAAGCUGAUAUUUAUAUACUUCUUUUCAAUCUAUCCCAACUCCCCAUCUACAAAGGGCGCUGAAAUUUGUUCUGUUUCUAGUUGUUUAGAUAAAAAGUCUGAUGCAAAAUUUGUAAAAAGUUAUUGUUACCAAAAAUGCUUUGGUACUUAACUAUAUGGUGAAAUGCUUGUUAAAUUGACUGUGAUGUUGUAGUCUGAGCUGGUUGGAGUGAAGGGCAAUGCCUACAGGUCAGUUUUUGGCUCUGCGAUAUCCAAAUGGUGUGCAUAGUAUUAGCUCUGUGCCUUAAACUAGUGUAUCGUUUUGGAACUUUUUGUCUCUCUUUAAUUAAGUGAUAUUUUUUUUUGUAGGAACCUGAUGAAAUGUAACUUCUUUAAUUUAGGCAUAAAAAAUUUGGCAGUCAACAUAUAGCAUUGGAGGGCAGUUAUAAGGAAGAAUUUGUUCAAGGAAUUUGACAACCAUCAAUGAAGACUUCAUAAGAGACAUGUUUUGGAACAACAUGUGUAUCAGCUUGGCCGCUAUGAAUGGGCAAAGUAUGUCGUAAAGGCGUAUGUAUAGGAGCUAAAGGAAAGCGUAAGAGGAAGUAGGUUGUUGCUGAAGGAAAACAUCAUUUUUGUGCUUCUCUGCUGGUACAAUAUUCAUGCACUGUGUGGCAUGUUUUGUAACAAAUAGUUUGUAUUUGUAUCAGCUUUUGAUGUCCCAAGUAGAUGGGCAUGUAUUUGAAUGCUUUUCUUAUUUCAAUGUUGGCUUGGAUGAUUGGGAAAUCCUCCCUUUUAAAGUUUGAAUGCUUUUCUUCAAAUAGUAUGAGUUGGAUUACUCAUUUCAUA